rnacentral:rRNA from 1 species
GACGAACGCUGGCGGCGUGCCUAAUACAUGCAAGUAGGACGCAGUUGCGAACGGGUGAGUAACGCGUAGGUAACUACCUAUUAGAGGGGGAUAACUAUUGGAAACUAUCGCUAAUACCGCAUACUAGUAGUUGGACCUGCGUUGUAUUAGCUAGUCAGUAGGGUAAUGGCCUACCUAGGCAACGAUACAUAGGCGACCUGAGAGGGUGAACGGCCACAAUGGGAAUGAGAAAAUGCCCAGACUCCUUCGGGAGGCAGCAGUAGGGAAUCUUCGGCAAUGGGGGGAACCCUGAACGAGCAACGGCGCGGGAGUGAAGAAGGGUUUCGGAUCGUAAAGCUCUGUUGGUAAGGAAGCGGUACUUAACCAGAAAGGGACGGCUAACUACGUGCCAGCAGCCGCGGUAAUUC